rnacentral:rRNA from 1 species
AGUCGAGCGAACAGAUAAGGAGCUUGCUCCUUUGACGUUAGCGGCGGACGGGUGAGUAACACGUGGGUAACCUACCUAUAAGACUGGAAUAACUCCGGGAAACCGGGGCUAAUGCCGGAUAACAUGUUGAACCGCAUGGUUCUACAGUGAAAGGCGGCUUUGCUGUCACUUAUAGAUGGACCCGCGCCGUAUUAGCUAGUUGGUGAGGURACGGCUCACCAAGGCAACGAUACGUAGCCGACCUGAGAGGGUGAUCGGCCACACUGGAACUGAGACACGGUCCAGACUCCUACGGGAGGCAGCAGUAGGGAAUCUUCCGCAAUGGGCGAAAGCCUGACGGAGCAACGCCGCGUGAGUGAUGAAGGUCUUCGGAUCGUAAAACUCUGUUAUUAGGGAAGAACAAAUGCGUAAGUAACUGUGCGCGUCUUGACGGUACCUAAUCAGAAAGCCACGGCUAACUACGUGCCAGCAGCCGCGGUAAUACGUAGGUGGCAAGCGUUAUCCGGAAUUAUUGGGCGUAAAGCGCGCGUAGGCGGUUUUUUAAGUCUGAUGUGAAAGCCCACGGCUCAACCGUGGAGGGUCAUUGGAAACUGAAAAACUUGAGUGCAGAAGAGGAAAGUGGAAUUCCAUGUGUAGCGGUGAAAUGCGCAGAGAUAUGGAGGAACACCAGUGGCGAAGGCGACUUUCUGGUCUGUAACUGACGCUGAUGUGC